GACGAACGCUGGCGGCGUGCCUAAUACAUGCAAGUCGAACGAGAGCGACCGGUGCUUGCACUGGUCAAUCUAGUGGCGAACGGGUGAGUAACACGUGGGUAACCUGCCCAUCAGAGGGGGAUAACAUCCGGAAACGGAUGCUAAAACCGCAUAGGUCUUCGAACCGCAUGGUUUGAAGAGGAAAAGAGGCGCAAGCUUCUGCUGUUGGAUGGACCCGCGGUGCAUUAGAUAGUUGGUGAGGUAACGGCUCACCAAGGCCGUGAUGCAUAGCCGACCUGAGAGGGUGAUAGGCCACAUUGGGACUGAGACCAGCCCCAAACUCCUACGGGAGGCAGCAGUAGGCAAUCUUCCGCAAUGGACGCAAGUCUGACGGAGCAACGCCGCGUGAGUGAAGAAGGUUUUCGGAUCGUAAAACUCUGUUGUUAGAGAAGAACAAGUGCUAGAGUAACUGUUAGCGCCUUGACGGUAUCUAACCAGAAAGCCACGGCUAACUACGUG
rnacentral:rRNA from 1 species